CCGCACGGGUGAGUAACGCGUAUCCAACCUGCCGUCUACUCUUGGACAGCCUUCUGAAAGGAAGAUUAAUACAAGAUGGCAUCAUGAGUCCGCAUGUUCACAUGAUUAAAGGUAUUCCGGUAGACGAUGGGGAUGCGUUCCAUUAGAUAGUAGGCGGGGUAACGGCCCACCUAGUCUUCGAUGGAUAGGGGUUCUGAGAGGAAGGUCCCCCACAUUGGAACUGAGACACGGUCCAA
rnacentral:rRNA from 1 species